rnacentral:lncRNA from 1 species
CACAUUCAGAAGAGAACUGGAUUCUGGGCGAAACUAACAGGUCCACAGGAGACAAUGAGUGACUCGACGUGGCUGCCAGGAGCAGGAGCAGGUCUGGGAGUAGGGAGGGAGUGGGCCCCGCUGACGGUGAAAGGCUGGCCGGCCCCUCCGCGGCGGUGGAGAGCUGUUGCAAUCAUCGUCUCGGGGGGCAGUGAGCAGCUCAGGCACCCCACCCCCCCGGGGGGGUGGUGGUGAGUCCAGAUCCCCGAAGGCUGCAGGGCGUCGGCGGGAGCGAUGC